rnacentral:rRNA from 1 species
AUUGAACGCUGGCGGCAUGCCUUACACAUGCAAGUCGAACGGUAACAGGCCUUCGGGUGCUGACGAGUGGCGAACGGGUGAGUAAUGCAUCGGAACGUGCCCAGAGGUGGGGGAUAACGCAGCGAAAGCUGUGCUAAUACCGCAUGUGAUCUGAGGAUGAAAGCGGGGGACCAGGCAGCAAUGUUUGGCCUCGCGCCUUUGGAGCGGCCGAUGUCAGAUUAGGUAGUUGGUGGGGUAAAGGCCUACCAAGCCGACGAUCUGUAGCUGGUCUGAGAGGACGACCAGCCACACUGGGACUGAGACACGGCCCAGACUCCUACGGGAGGCAGCAGUGGGGAAUUUUGGACAAUGGGCGCAAGCCUGAUCCAGCAAUGCCGCGUGCGGGAAGAAGGCCUUCGGGUUGUAAACCGCUUUUGUACGGAACGAAAAGGCUCUGGCUAAUACCUGGGGCUGAUGACGGUACCGUAAGAAUAAGCACCGGCUAACUACGUG